rnacentral:tRNA from 2 species
AUUUAUGUAGUUUAAUAAAAACAUUACAUUUUCAAUGUAAAAAUAAAAAUUUAUUUUUCAUAAAUA